CCCAUGGCAUAGUAGUUAAGUUCAGCACACUGCUUCGGUGGCCCAGGUUCACACGUUUUGAUUCCGGGCGCAGACCUACAUCACUUAUCAGGACAGAAGGAAGUCUCAUUAGGGAGAUCAGAAGGAAGUGGAAUCACAUCUUUAAAGUGCUGGAGGAAAAGAACCAUCAACCCACGAUUCUAUAUCCAGUAAAAUAUCCUUCAGGAGUAAAGGUGAAAUAAAGGCAUUCUCAGAUCAAGGAAAACUAGCAGAAUUCCUUGACAGCAGGCCUGCUCUAAAAUAAUUGCUAAAAGAAGUUCUUCAGACAGAAGGGAAAUGAUACCAGCAGUUGACUUGGAAUAUCUGGAAUGAAGGAUGACCAAAAGAAAUGGUAAAAUCUG
rnacentral:lncRNA from 1 species